UUGCUUCAGCAGCACAUAUACUUACAUUGGAAUGAUACAGAGAAGAUCAGCAUGGCCCCUGUACAAAGAUGACAUGCAAAUUCAUGAAGCAUUCUU
rnacentral:snRNA from 1 species